rnacentral:rRNA from 1 species
UGCCAGCAGCCGCGGUAAUACGGAGGGUGCGAGCGUUAAUCGGAAUUACUGGGCGUAAAGCGCACGCAGGCGGUUAUUUAAGCUAGAAGUGAAAGCCCCGGGCUCAACCUGGGAAGGCCUUUUAGAACUGGAUGACUAGAGUCUUGGAGAGGGGAGUGGAAUUCCACGUGUAGCGGUGAAAUGCGUAGAUAUGUGGAGGAACAUCAGUGGCGAAGGCGACUCCCUGGCCAAAGACUGACGCUCAUGUGCGAAAGUGUGGGUAGCGAACAGGAUUAGAAACCCCCGUAGUCC